GGAAGUGAGCAGCAAGUAGCUAGCUAGCUCAGUCAUAUGUAUUAUAGCUUUGGUUAUAUUGAGCGCAGUAAUAGCGUGGAUGUAUGCGCAGUAACGUCAGAGUAGCAGCAGAAUGGACCGUUUGCGAUCCACUUUUAAAGGCACAAGAACCACAGGGUGAUUCAAUGGAGCCUGAAUACUUCCUGCAAUGAGACAGCACCCUCACCCUGCACCUGCAAUGAGACAGCACCCUCACUCUGCACCCUCAACUCUCAACCAACUGGGUUUUGCGAGCCUUUCCCUGUUCCUUAUUUUUAAUAAACCAAAACAUUAAGCUUUUCAA